GUGGGUAGUUUGACUGGGGCGGUCUCCUCCUAAAGAGUAACGGAGGAGCACGAAGGUUGGCUAAUCCUGGUCGGACAUCAGGAGGUUAGUGCAAUGGCAUAAGCCAGCUUGACUGCGAGCGUGACGGCGCGAGCAGGUGCGAAAGCAGGUCAUAGUGAUCCGGUGGUUCUGAAUGGAAGGGCCAUCGCUCAACGGAUAAAAGGUACUCCGGGGAUAACAGGCUGAUACCGCCCAAGAGUUCAUAUCGACGGCGGUGUUUGGCACCUCGAUGUCGGCUCAUCACAUCCUGGGGCUGAAGUAGGUCCCAAGGGUAUGGCUGUUCGCCAUUUAAAGUGGUACGCGAGCUGGGUUUAGAACGUCGUGAGACAGUUCGGUCCCUAUCUGCCGUGGGCGCUGGAGAACUGAGGGGGGCUGCUCCUAGUACGAGAGGACCGGAGUGGACGCAUCACUGGUGUUCGGGUUGUCAUGCCAAUGGCACUGCCCGGUAGCUAAAUGCGGAAGAGAUAAGUGCUGAAAGCAUCUAAGCACGAAACUUGCCCCGAGAUGAGUUCUCCCUGACUCUUUAAGGGUCCUGAAGGAACGUUGAAGACGACGACGUUGAUAGGCCGGGUGUGUAAGCGCAGCGAUGCGUUGAGCUAACCGGUACUAAUGAACCGUGAGGCUUAACCUUACAACGCCGAAG
rnacentral:rRNA from 1 species